ACAGAGCUCUCCGGGGUUGCGCGGCAGCUAAAGAAGGUUUUGCACGGAACUGCUUCCACAACAAAUCACCCAAGCACUCCUAUGCGGCCCGCCUCAAGGCCCACAACAUCUGACAUACCAGCACUGCAGGACACUCCCCCAAGACCACCAUCUGAAGGACUAGAGUCUGAGAUGACAGUCGAUCUUGUUCCGGGCUCCGGGGUUCGAGUUCCCAAGUGCAAGUUAAGUGCCCUUAGGACAAGCACUCCUGCCACCUACAUCGGGGACCUUGCCAUCCUCGUUUUUGGAAAAGAAACUCUUUCAGAGUCG